rnacentral:rRNA from 1 species
AGAGUUUGAUCCUGGCUCAGGAUGAACGCUAGCGGCAGGCUUAACACAUGCAAGUCGAGGGGCAGCGGGGAGGAAGCUUGCUUUCUCCGCCGGCGACCGGCGCACGGGUGAGUAACACGUAUGCAACCUGCCCCUGUCAGGGGGACAACCCGCCGAAAGGCGGGCUAAACCCGCGUACAUGCCACCGGGGCAUCCCGGAGGCAGGAAAGGCUUCGGCCGGACAGGGAUGGGCAUGCGGCGCAUUAGGCAGUAGGCGGGGUAACGGCCCACCUAACCGACGAUGCGUAGGGGUUCUGAGAGGAAGGUCCCCCACACUGGUACUGAGACACGGACCAGACUCCUACGGGAGGCAGCAGUGAGGAAUAUUGGUCAAUGGUCGGGAGACUGAACCAGCCAAGCCGCGUGAGGGAGGAAGGUACAGAGUAUCGUAAACCUCUUUUGUCAGGGAACAAAGGCGGGGACGUGUCCCCGGAUGAGUGUACCUGAAGAAAAAGCAUCGGCUAACUCCGUGCCAGCAGCCGCGGUAAUACGGAGGAUGCGAGCGUUAUCCGGAUUUAUUGGGUUUAAAGGGUGCGCAGGCGGUCUGUUAAGUCAGCGGUCAAAGCCCGGGGCUCAACCCCGGCCCGCCGUUGAAACUGGCAGUCUCGAGUUGGAGAGAAGUAUGCGGAAUGCGCGGUGUAGCGGUGAAAUGCAUAGAUAUCGCGCAGAACUCCGAUUGCGAAGGCAGCAUGCCGGCUCCACACUGACGCUGAGGCACGAAAGCGUGGGUAUCGAACAGGAUUAGAUACCCUGGUAGUCCACGCAGUAAACGAUGAAUGCUGGCUGUCCGGGGGGAUUGACCCCUGGGUGGCGAAGCGAAAGCGAUAAGCAUUCCACCUGGGGAGUACGCCGGCAACGGUGAAACUCAAAGGAAUUGACGGUGGCCCGCACAAGCGGAGGAACAUGUGGUUUAAUUCGAUGAUACGCGAGGAACCUUACCCGGGCUCAAACGGGGAGUGACUCAGGCAGAGACGCCUGUUUCCCACGGGACACUCCCCGAGGUGCUGCAUGGUUGUCGUCAGCUCGUGCCGUGAGGUGUCGGCUUAAGUGCCAUAACGAGCGCAACCCCCGCGUGCAGUUGCUAACAGAUAACGCUGAGGACUCUGCACGGACUGCCGGCGCAAGCCGCGAGGAAGGCGGGGAUGACGUCAAAUCAGCACGGCCCUUACGUCCGGGGCGACACACGUGUUACAAUGGGUGGUACAGCGGGAAGCCAGGCGGCGACGCCGAGCGGAACCCGAAAUCCACUCUCAGUUCGGAUCGGAGUCUGCAACCCGACUCCGUGAAGCUGGAUUCGCUAGUAAUCGCGCAUCAGCCAUGGCGCGGUGAAUACGUUCCCGGGCCUUGCACACACCGCCCGUCA